rnacentral:rRNA from 1 species
GACGAACGCUGGCGGCGUGCUUAACACAUGCAAGUCGAACGGCAAGGCCCUGCUUUUGUGGUGUGCUCGAGUGGCGAACGGGUGAGUAACACGUGAGUACCCUUCCCUUGACUUUGGGAUAACUUCAGGAAACUGGGGCUAAUACCGGAUAGGAGCUCCUGCUGCAUGGUGGGGGUUGGAAAGUUUCGGCGGUUGGGGAUGGACUCGCGGCUUAUCAGCUUGUUGGUGGGGUAGUGGCUUACCAAGGCUUUGACGGGUAGCCGGCCUGAGAGGGUGACCGGCCACAUUGGGACUGAGAUACGGCCCAGACUCCUACGGGAGGCAGCAGUGGGGAAUAUUGCACAAUGGGCGGAAGCCUGAUGCAGCAACGCCGCGUGCGGGAUGACGGCCUUCGGGUUGUAAACCGCUUUCGCCUGUGACGAAGCGUGAGUGACGGUAAUGGGUAAAGAAGCACCGGCUAACUACGUG